ACAAAGAGAAAGACUGAUUGGGGACCAACAACAAUAACUUCACUCAAAAGAAAUUAGCACAAUCUUGAGGUUAGAAGACCUGGCUUCAAAUCUCUGAUCGGCUAUGUGUUGAUUCUGUGACCUUGCGGCUUGCAAAAUUCCCAAAUUGUGACAGGAGUUUAAAAAUAAUGUUUGAUCAAGGUUACAAAAUGAACCACUAUCAAACAUUAGUUUUAAGAAGAUAAAGCA